AUCCAGACUCCUACGGGAGGCAGCAGUGGGGGAUAUUGCACAAUGGGGGGAACCCUGAUGCAGCGACGCCGCGUGGGUGAAGAAGCGCCUCGGCGCGUAAAGCCCUGUCAGCAGGGAAGAAAAUGACGGUACCUGAAGAAGAAGCCCCGGCUAACUACGUGCCAGCAGCCGCGGUAAUACGUAGGGGGCAAGCGUUAUCCGGAUUUACUGGGUGUAGAGGGGGCGCAGACGGCGAUGCAAGCCAGGAGUGAAAGCCCGGGGCCCAACCCCGGGACUGCUCUUGGAACUGCGUGGCUGGAGUGCAGGAGGGGCAGGCGGAAUUCCUGGUGUAGCGGUGAAAUGCGUAGAGAUUAGGAAGAACACCAGUGGCGAAGGCGAUUCUCUGGACUGUAACUGACGCUGAGGCUCGAAAGCGUGGGGAGCAAACAGGAUUAGAUACCCGUGUA
rnacentral:rRNA from 1 species